AUUCUUGAAAUGAUGCGACACUCUUCCGAUUUUCACUUCUUUCCAGAAUUGAAAGAAAAAAAAAAGAAACGCUCGAAGAGAUUCGUUUUUAAUCGAAUACUCUAAUGAAAUCAAGGCAAUAGUAAUAUUCUUUGUCGGAGAGAGAAAGGAAAAAAAAGAUAUCGAACGAGCGAUUACAUAAAAAAGUAAGAUAAACACAGAUAUUUUUACAGUUAAACAAUCGUACUUUCAUUUCCUCUUUGCUUCGAUAAUUGCUUUCAUUUCAUACGAGAUAUACGAGAGUUCAUUGCUUUUCGACCGAUCCUUUCGAUAAUUUGAUCCUUUAAAUAUAUAAAUUUCCAGAAAAUUAAAUUUUAUGCAAAUAAGAGAAAUAGCCGGUUAAAUUUAUUUACCUUUAACCGCGAAAAUCGAGGAAACGAGGAGACAAAUCAUCCAUCGAUCGAUCCGCAACAACAUCAAUCGGCUAUAUUCCUCAAUCGCCAAUUCCAUUCGAUUAAUUCCACCAUAAUAACGAAAACCACCGUAUAACGACAUAAUCUCAACGGAAAGAGAGAGAGAGAGAGAGAGAGAGAGAGAGAGAGAGAGAGAGAGAAAGAGAGGCAACGUGUUGCUUUACUCGAUGUAUCAAGUCGUGGACGAUAAUGAACGAAAUUAUAAACGAUUCUCGUCUCAUUAAAUCCAUCGAUUAAUGGCGUUCCGAUUAGAGGCUCGUUAAAACCGCUAUAAAAUUCCAAAUUUCAAAAAAAAAAAAGAAAAAAACAGCCACGAGUUUUCGUUACACAUCCGGAAACUUGCACCCAUCCGAAGAAGGGGCGAGAUAUUAAGAGAAGAAGGAGAGAGAGAGAGAGAGAGAAAGAGAGAAAAGAAUUCGCGUUUAUCUUGAUAUAUGCGAAUAAUAUGGCAUACAUCAGCCGUAUUCUUUCCUAUUUUUAUGGAGAUGCGCGUUUAUCGGGAUGUGCAAGCGGCGGGGCGAGGGGUCUAGGGAGAGGAGAAUAUUAAAACACCAACGUCUCUCUUUAUCAUCGCGCCGUGAAUUCCAUCCCGUUUUCCCUCCGUCCAAAAAGCUCGUAUUUAACUCUCCUUAACCGUAUCGUAUAUACUAUCGACUUAAGAUAGGAAUAUUCGAAAGCAAGAGGAAGUUCCCAUCCUUCCUUCCUUCCUUUCUUUCUUAUCUCGUUACGACGUUUUUUUUUCUCUACGGCGAAUCGCGAGAACUAUCCACACCUCCCUCCCUAUUGACUCGAGAGAGAUUUUUAUGGAACGAAAUAUAACGUAUAUUGGCGAAUAUGAUUGAUUACCGUUUAUGAUUCUCACGAUCUACAUUCUCUCUUUCUCUCUCUCUCUCAUAUUCAUCUCAAGCAUCGACGAGGAUAAUAAUAUUAUGUUUCCAGAGAGAUAUCUUCCGUUUACCGAUAUCUUCGUAUUUACAUUUCUUUCUUUUUCCACGAAACGUUCGAAACGUACGCGAUCUAAUGUAGGUACGUGUAUGGAUACGUAAACAAAGGUCUCUCUUAUCUUAGAAAUAACGCGGAAAAAGGUGACUCACUUGCCCUGUCGCAUGCGAAAUUACGCAGAAGCGCUCGCUACGUAUCCGUGUUCGAACGUGUUUCACAGCGGUAGAAACCUUUUGGACGAGGAGGAUCGCGGUUGGAGAUUCGGGUAUUGGCGGCACGUCUGGACGAUGGCCGAGGAUCGAUCGGCACCUCGAAUCGAAUUCCUGUUCGUUCGUUCAUUCAGGAUCACGGUCAUCAAUGGAAGCGCGGAUUCUUGGAAUCCGUGUCAAAUUCCAAUUUCGCCAGCCGGCCGAAAUAUAUCCGGGAUCGUCAUUCAAGAUCAUCGACGACGACAGGGACACGUCAUCUCGACGAUCCGACCCAACGGGGGAAUUCGCCUCGUGGAGGACGAGCACCGCCAAAAUAAUUCGACGCACGAUCGGCAGCCUCGAGCAUUCUCUCUCCACGACGACCGAUCGAACGUCGACGAAUUCCCCUGGACUUGGUCUGCUAAUCCAGUUAAUGCACGAGAGAAAAAGGAUCGUCGAGAAGGGAAAAGGAAAAAAAAUUCACGGUUAUAAAUCUACAGCCACGAAUGGUAUUGCGAAGAAUACUUAUUAUUGUCUCGAACUGAAAGGAAGGUCUUCGAAAUGCAACGAGCUGGUUGAUGAUAGGGUCGUCCCGUAUGGGUCCGUAAAUUAUGGUGCUGCUACAUGUAUGGAAGUUGCCGCAUAACUACGUGGAAAGCUUGCUCGCCGGAUGAUAGACCACACGCAGACCCUUUCGUAUUUUUGUUAAAAACAUCCGUUCAAAACCGACGCGAAUAUAGGAUUGGAGGAAUUCGCCGAUGCGAUUGCUUGUUGCAACAGUGACCUGGUUGAAAAUCAUCGUUGCAAAGUGACUUGAAAAAUCUCUCUCUUCUUUUAUCAAAUCGAAUCGUGACGAACGAGUAAUAAAAUAAUCGAAGAGGAAAUUCUUGAAAUUUUAAAAAUUAAAAAAAUGGAAUUAAAUAAAUUCAAAACGUGUGCUCGUUUCGACUUGACAAAUUUUAAAUUUUCACGGAAUUGUACGAUUCGUGAAAUUCAAUAUCCAAUUCGAACGAAAUCAGAACCGAGGGUGGAAAUCCCUGUUUCAGACUUUGUUGCAAUUUACUCGCGAGACGACCAAAUAGACGUCGAGAUAUCGACAAGAAUCGUGUAUCUGCUAAAUCGCUUUUGAAAAUAGCGUUCGACGGGAGAAGGAGGAGAAUCGAGGAGAAUUUCAAAAAUAAGUUUUCUCUCUUGGACGAUCCACGAUAGACGUUACGAUUUCAUCCGUAUUUUAUUAAACAAAAGGACAAACCUCAUUUUUCCCAACUUCCUAUUCUUCCAAUUAAUUUAUUUUCAAAAAAAGAAAGAAAUUAAAUUACUUCGCGAUAGAGAGAGAAAAAAAAAAGGAAAGCAACAAGAUAAUCUUACAAAUUCGCGUCAACUACGGUAUCGAAGAAUAUCCGUCAAAUCGGCAAAGCCUUUGGAAAUCUACACCCUGUACACGAUAAAAUACACAGGGCGUUCGUCAUACGGUCGCGGCCAUAAAGCAGAAUUUUCGAAAAGGGAAGGCAAAACGAUCCAUUCACCGCCCCUUUCCUCCCUCCGACUAAUAAUUCCAAAACGAUCCGCUUUAUAUUUACGACGCGUACACGUUUAUAAACGACACUGGCCCGUUUGAUGCCCGCUUUAUUUUAUAGUUUCCCCCUUGCUCGCAUCCGAUCGGUGCACCUUCCUUCAUAUUUCGAUCGCGCCAACCCUCCCCCUCCUCCAACCGCCUUGGAUACCGGUCUCGAGAAGUUUACACUGGAAACACGAGUCGUAAUUUUUGGUGGUUUCGAGGUGGAGGGGAAAGUGAAUUUUCAGUAAUCGAGUCGCAAGUUUCGUGCCCUCGACCGCUAUGGUCCCAUAGUUUUCCACUUAGUCCGAACGUGUGUUGGGUUUACGAGGUUAUAUCGACGUGGCGAGGUAGUUAAAGGUCCUUGGAGCUGGUUCCAACAACCAGUUCUCCUCCAUCGGGGAACGUUAGUUUAGGAGGGGUUGAGGAGGGCGGGGCGGGUAUGGAUCACCGAUGAUGGAAUGAAGUUUUCGAACUGGAUUAUAAAAGCGAUAAUCCGGCCCAACCUGCGAUCCGAUAUUUUUCUAGAGAUUGGUGAAGAAGUGCAAAGCGUUAUCCGGAUGUUAUUUUUUAUAUAAGAAUAUUAAAUAAGAAACGCUGACUCGUGGAAUUUGUACGGAUUCGUUGUACGAAUCCUUACGCCGGCAUUAUCCAAGCUUUGCUCGCGGAUUAAGCGGACAAAUUUCACUCCUAUUAUUUCCUGUUUCAAGAACGAAGCGAGAAAAAUAGGAAAAUUAUAUUUAAAAUUAUAUAUAAAAAUUUUUCAAAUUUUUCCUUUCCAAAGAAAUUCAAAAUCUAUGCAACAGAGAAAUAAUAAUCUUACCGAAGGACAAAAAUUUAUCUAUUUUCAAAUAUAAUUAAAUUCAAUAGAAACAGAACUGGUAGAAUAAUUCGUGGGGCAACAUUUGCGAGACAAGAGGGCCCAAGUUCUGGGCUAAACAAAUAGAUUUCCGGUAAGAGAGAACGAGGCGGGGACGCAGUUUCCGAGAUUGCGGCGGCUCGAUAGGGGCGCUUAAUAGAAAUCCUGGGCAAGAUAGAAUCUCGAUUGGUAACAUUAUUAUUAUGUCCCCACUCGGCAACAAGGGCCCCGAUCUGCGGUUUCCAAGUGUCCAACUCGCAAACCAGCGGUAGUUAGCAGAAGCUGUUAAGGACACCGUGAACAUUGAGUAUCGCCGCAUCGAUUGUCCUCGAAUUCGGCAUGCAAGGAGUUCGAAUUACCAGAUAUACCGGCCAAACACGAGACAACUACGAGAUACCUGAAAUCGACCACCGAAACGACACCUGAUUCUGUUUCAAACCCUAAUAAAUUUCACGAUGUCGCACAAAUGCCGAUAUGAAACGAAUCAACGUAAAAUCGAAAGUCGAAUAAUACAAUUUCAGCGAUUCCUGCUUUGAUACGUCAAAGAGAAGAGAGAGAGUUUGCGAGAAAGAGAGAUGACGACAGAUUCGAGAGACGGUAACCUAGAACCACCUAGUCCAAUUUUCCCCGGGUUAACGCCAAAACACUUUCUUUCGACCGAGGAAACCUCGCCCUCGGGUAAACUACGCCAACUACCCUCGAAAUCGGGCCGGAGAGUUUCAUCGAUGUUCCUCGUUUACCCUAAUCCCGCGAGCGAGCAAGGAUCGAUAGAGGGAAGAGGGAGGAGGGAAGAGGGCUGGAUCGGAUCCGCGCGAGUUUUUCCCCCAAUUGCUCCGAGCAAUUACUCCAAAUCGUUCCAUUCUCGACUCCACGGAUGAUUUCUUCGCUCGUGGAAAGGAGAGAGAAAAAAAAAAGGAAAGGAAAGGAAAGGAGAAAAGGGAAGCGAAUUGAACAAGCAUUCGUUAGCAUUAGCAUCGGGAAAGAAAGAAAGAGGGAAGAAGAUCGGUGGAAUCGCGAGUGGUCGAGAGACUUGGCUCGAAAACUAGGAGAACCGACCUGGAAGGGAGAGGAGGGGGGAGGAGGUCCAAGUUUCAUUAACUUCUGAAAACGCGACGCGUCGAUCGAUAGCGUGGCCGCGGGAAGGUUGGUUGUAACCCGGGCAAAAAGCUGCGAUGAAGCACGAUAAUCCGGCGCGCAGAGACGGCCGAUAUAUAUACACGGGGAAGCCCGUUGGCUGGUCGGUAGCCGACUCGAAAAACAAGUGGGAAGGGGAGGGUGGGGGUGGGGUUGGAGCAGAGGCGAGAGUAAAUGCACACGGACAAGGGGAGCAUCUAGGAUGGUAUCGUGGGUUUAUUGCGCGUUUUACGGGUCCCCGACGCUUGUAUAAUUGUCGAGGGCGGAGGGUUGGCCCAUUUUCGAGGGGAAAUAUGGCCGCGACUCGAGCGACUCUCGCCGGCAAAAGUCGAUACUUCGGCUCGAGAGUUCGUUUGCUCCUCGUAGUCGUGGUCGUCGUCGUCGUCGUCGUCGUCGUCUCUCUUCCAUGCCCCUGUGGAAAAGGCUGAAAAGCACCGGCACCGGCCUCUGCCAGCCUCUACGAGCUUCUAAUCAGCCUACAUCUGUCCGUUGUGCAGAUCGAGUAGAGUGAGGGGGCGGCAAGAGGGGCGCAAGAGGGAGAGGGGGAGAAUGGGGUGCACGCGCGCUCGCGUUCGCGCACGCGGCCCUACGCAUCCCCUUUGUACGCGCACACCUGACGACGGGCUGGAUGAGGGUGGUGGUUGGUUUCUAGCGGAGGGGAGAAGAGAGAGAGAGAGAGGGAGGGAGGGAGGGAG